GUAGGUGGCAAGCGUUGUCCGGAAUUAUUGGGCGUAAAGCGCGCGCAGGUGGUUCUUUAAGUCUGAUGUGAAAGCCCCCGGGCUCAACCGGGGAGGGUCAUUGGAAACUGGGGAACUUGAGUGCAGGAGAGGAAAGUGGAAUUCCACGUGUAGCGGUGAAAUGCGUAGAUAUGUGGAGGAACACCAGUGGCGAAGGCGACGUUUCUGGCCUGUAACUGACACUGAGGCGCGAAAGCGUGGGGAGCAAACAGGAUUAGAUACCCUGGUAGUCCACGCCGUAAACGAUGAGUGCUAAGUGUUGGGGGGUUUCCGCCCCUCAGUGCUGCAGCUAACGCAUUAAGCACUCCGCCUGGGGGAGUACGGUCGCAAAGACUG
rnacentral:rRNA from 1 species